rnacentral:rRNA from 1 species
GACGAACGCUGGCGGCGUGCUUAACACAUGCAAGUCGAACGGUGAACGAGGGAGCUUGCUCCCUCCGGAUCAGUGGCGAACGGGUGAGUAACACGUGAGCAAUCUGCCCCGAACUCUGGGAUAAGCGUUGGAAACGACGUCUAAUACCGGAUACGACGCGGGAGGGCAUCCUCUCCGCGUGGAAAGAACUUCGGUUCGGGAUGAGCUCGCGGCCUAUCAGCUUGUUGGUGAGGUAACGGCUCACCAAGGCGACGACGGGUAGCCGGCCUGAGAGGGUGACCGGCCACACUGGGACUGAGACACGGCCCAGACUCCUACGGGAGGCAGCAGUGGGGAAUAUUGCACAAUGGGCGCAAGCCUGAUGCAGCAACGCCGCGUGAGGGAUGACGGCCUUCGGGUUGUAAACCUCUUUUAGCAGGGAAGAAGCGAAAGUGACGGUACCUGCAGAAAAAGCACCGGCUAACUACGUG